GUGACGGUAGAGUAGUGGUACAACUCGCCUCUCUCCCACUUGGGAAUUCCAUUUCCAGACGCAAAAGGGCCAGGAGGAGACCCGGGUUCAAACCCCGGCCGUCGCA